GGAAUCUCGUACUCCCAGAUGGUUUAGAUGAUUUUGUCAUAUACUGUACGACUGAUUUUUCUACUGUCUGGAAAGAGGUUAAUCUGAGAACCCGUAGGGUUAAGUUGAUUGGCCUUGAGGGCUCUGGUAAAACCUCUCUUUUAAAAGCAAUUCUGGAUCGAGGCCGAAGGGCCCACACUGAGAGUAUUGAAAAUCUAAAUGCAGAUGAUGAUGUUCAAGAGGGAAUUGCUGGUGGCUUGUGUUACUCUGAUUCAACUGGAGUUAAUCUGCAGAAUCUGAACAUGGAGGCAACACAUUUCAGGGAUGAUCUGUGGAAAGGAAUUCGUGAUCUUUGUAAGAAAACCGAUUUGAUUAUACUUGUCCAUAACCUAUCUCAUAAAAUUCCUCGCUACAACGACUCAAAUGCCUUGCAACCACAACCUGCCAUGUGCCUUCUCCUUAAUGAGGCAAAAUCUCUUGGAAUACCUUGGAUACUUGCAAUUACAAACAAGUUUUCUGUCAGUGCUCACCAGCAAAAGGUAGCUAUUAAUGCGGUUGUGAAGGCAUAUCAAGCAUCUCCUAGCACAACUGAGGUUGUCAAUUCAUGUCCUUAUGUUACAUCUAGUGCUGCUGGUGCUUCUCAAUCUUGGUAUACAGAAGGGAAAGAUCCAGAGUGGAUGUUUGGUGCCCAAAAGCUAAUUUUUGCUCCACUUGAACUAGUCCGGAGGCCUUUCCAGAAGAAAACAGCUGUUCUCCCCAUUGAUGGGGUAUCUGCUUUGUGUGAGCUUGUCCACCGUGUACUUAGGAGCCAGGAAGAAGCUGCUUUACUGGAGUUCGCCAGAGAUAGGCUUUUUGUGGAAUUGGCUCGGGAGAGAGCAGUGGAAAUUCAAGAUGCUCAGACAAAGGUCAAUCCUCUGAAUGCUGCGGCUGUUGGUGCUUCACUUGGUGCUGGUUUGGGCCUUGUGUUAGCUGUUGUCAUGGGUGCAGCUUCUGCUUUGAGGAAGCCAUAAAAUCUUCUGGACUAUAUAGGGUGUAUAGAAGGUUUAGUUGCCUUAAUCUGUCGUGGAUAUGUAGCCAUUCUUUUAAUCUUAUAACUACUCAAUAUUUAAUGAUGGUUGAUUUUCAGUAGAUUCUUUGUUUAUAUUUGUUAGGCUGUUGGAGCAAAUCUAGUAGUAUAGACGUGGGCUCAUAAAACUGUUAGCCAAG
rnacentral:misc_RNA from 1 species